GGAAUAUUGGACAAUGGGCGCAAGCCUGAUCCAGCCAUGCCGCGUGGACGAUGAAGGCCCUAUGGUUGUAAAGUACUUUCGGCGGGGAAGAUAAUGACGGUACCAGCAGAAGAAGCCCCGGAUAACUUCGUGCCAGCAGCCGCGGUAAUACGAAGGGGGCCAGCGUUGCUCGGAAUCACUGGGCGUAAAGCGCACGUAGGCGGCUUCUUAAGUCAGGGGUGAAAUCCUGGAGCUCAACUCCAGAACUGCCUUUGAUACUGAGGAGCUUGAGUUCGGGAGAGGUGAGUGGAACUGCGAGUGUAGAGGUGAAAUUCGUAGAUAUUCGCAAGAACACCAGUGGCGAAGGCGGCUCACUGGCCCGAUACUGACGCUGAGGUGCGAAAGCGUGGGGAGCAAAC
rnacentral:rRNA from 1 species